rnacentral:rRNA from 1 species
UGGGGAAUAUUGCACAAUGGAGGGAACUCUGAUGCAGCGACGCCGCGUGAGUGAUGAAGGAAUUCGUUUCGUAAAACUCUGUUCUAUGGGAGGAAAAGGACUGUACCAUAGGAGAAAGCUCCGGCUAAAUACGUGCCAGCAGCCGCGGUAAUACGUAUGGAGCGAGCGUUGUCCGGAAUUAUUGGGCGUAAAGGGUGCGCAGGCGGCUUUACAAGUUGGAUGUGAAAUAUUGUGGCUCAACCACAAACGUGCAUCCAAAACUGCAAAGCUUGAGUUAAGGAGAGGUAAGUGGAAUUCCUGGUGUAGCGGUGGAAUGCGUAGAUAUCAGGAGGAAUACCGGUGGCGAAGGCGACUUACUGGACUUAAACUGACGCUCAGGCACGAAAGCGUGGGGAGCAAACAGG